rnacentral:rRNA from 1 species
AGCAGUCGCCGCGGUAACACGGAGGGGGCUAGCGUUGUUCGGAAUUACUGGGCGUAAAGCGCACGUAGGCGGCUUUGUAAGUCAGAGGUGAAAGCCCGGGGCUCAACCCCGGAAUUGCCUUUGAGACUGCAUCGCUUGAAUCCAGGAGAGGUGAGUGGAAUUCCGAGUGUAGAGGUGAAAUUCGUAGAUAUUCGGAAGAACACCAGUGGCGAAGGCGGCUCACUGGACUGGUAUUGACGCUGAGGUGCGAAAGCGUGGGGAGCAAACAGGAUUAGAUACCCCGGUAGUCCCUGUCUCUUAUAC